AUCCCUGCAUGUCUCAGUAUAAGUCUUAAUACGGCGAAACUGCGAACGGCUCAUUAAAACAGUUAUAGUUUAUUUGAUGGUCAAAUCGUUAUAUGGAUAACCGUGGUAAUUCUAGAGCUAAUACAUGCGUACAAACCCGACUUCUUGGAAGGGUUGUAUUUAUUAGAUACAGAACCAAUACUCUUCGGAGUUUUUUGGAUGAUUCAUAAUAAAUGAACGGAGCACAUGGCUUGUGCCGGUGCUGUAUCAUUCAAGUUUCUGACCUAUCAGCUUUCGACGGUAGGGUAUUGGCCUACCGUGGCAUUGACGGGUAACGGAGAAUUAGGGUUCGAUUCCGGAGAGGGAGCCCGAGAAACGGCUACCACAUCUAAGGAAGGCAGCAGGAGCGCAAAUUACCCAAUCCUGACACAGGGAGGUAGUGACAAGAAAUAACAAAGCAAGUCCUCACUGGAUUUUGCUAUUGGAAUGAGUAGAAUUUAAAUCUCUUUUCGACUAUCAAUUGGAGGGCAG
rnacentral:rRNA from 1 species